CCUACGGGAGGCAGCAGUGGGGAAUCUUCCGCAAUGGGCGAAAGCCUGACGGAGCAACGCCGCGUGAUCGAAUGAAGGCCUUCGGGUUGUAAAGAUCUGUUGACAGGGACGAAUAAGCCAUGCGAAUAGUUUGGUGUAUGACGGUACCUGAUUAGAAAGCUCCGGCUAACUACGUGCCAGCAGCCUCGGUAAUACGUAGGGAGCAAGCGUUGUCCGGAAUUACUUGGCGUAAAGGGCGCGCAGGUGGGUGCUUAAGUCAGGUGAGAAAACUCUGGGCUCAACCUGGAGACUGCACUUGAAACUGGAGAUCUUGAGGGCGGGAGAGGAAAGUGGAAUUCCUGGUGUAGCGGUGAAAUGCGUAGAUAUUAGGAGGAACACCAGUGGCGAAGGCGACUUUCUGGACUGUACCUGACGCUGAGGCGCGAAAGCGUGGGUAGCGAACGGGAUUAGAUACCCUUGUAGUC
rnacentral:rRNA from 1 species